rnacentral:rRNA from 1 species
AUACCUACGAGGGGCAGCAGUGAGGAAUAUUGGUCAAUGGGCUUACGCCUGAACCAGCCAAGUCGCGUGAGGGAAGACUGCCCUAUGGGUUGUAAACCUCUUUUGUCAGGGAGCAACGCCGGCUACGUGUAGCCGGACUGAGAGUACCUGAAGAAAAAGCAUCGGCUAACUCCGUGCCAGCAGCCGCGGUAAUACGUAGGUGGCGAGCGUUAUCCGGAAUGAUUGGGCGUAAAGGGUGCGUAGGCGGUCGAUUAAGUCUGGAGUGAAAGGUACCGGCUCAACCGGUAUAGGCUCCGGAAACUGAU